rnacentral:rRNA from 1 species
CGGGGUCGGAACUUCGGUUCCGGCUUACGUGGCGCACGGGUGAGUAACACGUGGGAAUCUGCCCAUCUAUGGGGAAUAACUGCGGGAAACUGCAGCUAAUACCGCAUACGCCCUUCGGGGGAAAGGCUUCGGCCGUAGAUGGAUGAGCCCGCGUCCGAUUAGCUAGUUGGUGGGGUAAAAGCCUACCAAGGCGACGAUCGGUAGCUGGUCUGAGAGGAUGAUCAGCCACACUGGGACUGAGACACGGCCCAGACUCCUACGGGAGGCAGCAGUGGGGAAUAUUGGACAAUGGGCGAAAGCCUGAUCCAGCAAUGCCGCGUGAGUGAUGAAGGUCUUCGGAUUGUAAAGCUCUUUCGACGGGGAAGAUAAUGACGGUACCCGUAGAAGAAGCCCCGGCUAACUUCGUGCCAGCAGCCGCGGUAAUACGAAGGGGGCUAGCGUUGUUCGGAUUUACUGGGCGUAAAGCGUGCGUAGGCGGCUUGUCAAGUCAGAAGUGAAAGCCCGGGGCUCAACUCCGGAACUGCUUUUGAGACUGGCAGGCUUGAGUUCGGGAGAGGGUAGUGGAAUUCCCAGUGUAGAGGUGAAAUUCGUAGAUAUUGGGAAGAACACCGGUG